UGGGGAAUUUUGCGCAAUGGGCGAAAGCCUGACGCAGCAACGCCGCGUGUGUGAUGAAGGUCUUUGGAUUGUAAAGCACUUUCGACCGGGACGAAAACCCGGAGGCUAACAUCCUCCGGCUUGACGGUACCGGGAGAAGAAGCACCGGCUAACUCUGUGCCAGCAGCCGCGGUAAUACAGAGGGUGCAAGCGUUGUUCGGAAUUAUUGGGCGUAAAGCGCGUGUAGGCGGCUUUGCAAGUCGGGUGUGAAAGCCCUCAGCUCAACUGAGGAAGUGCGCCCGAAACUGCAGAGCUUGAGUGCCGGAGAGGGUGGCGGAAUUCCCCAAGUAGAGGUGAAAUUCGUAGAUAUGGGGAGGAACACCGGUGGCGAAGGCGGCCACCUGGACGGUAACUGACGCUGAGACGCGAAAGCGUGGGUAGCAAACA
rnacentral:rRNA from 1 species